rnacentral:lncRNA from 1 species
CUCUAAGUGAUUCCCUUGCUGCUGACUCAGCCUCUCCGCCAUUGGAGGAAGCUAAGCCAGCCCAGUGCCCUCCAGAUGACUCCCCAUGGCACACACAGCCCCUCCUCCCCUGGAGGAAGCUGGCCAGGUCUGGUUAAAUCUUUGAUGUUUUCACAGCAGCCUACUUGGGAUGACUGCCAACAACUCCUAGGGACUCUCUUCAUGACAAAAGAACGAGAGAGAAACCUCCUGGAAGCUUAAAAAAAUAUCCUCGGACCAGAUGGGCGACCGACAAAACUUCCCAACAUAAUUGAAGCUGGCUCCCCCUUGAACUGACCCAACUGGGACCCCAACACCUUUGAAGGUAGGGAGCAUCUGUCCACUUAUCGCCGGGCUUUAAUAGUGGGUUUCCGAGCGGCCGCUAGGUGACCAACUAAUUUGGCCAAGGUAAGAGAGAUUAUUCAAGGGCCUAAUGAAUCUCCCUCUAUGUUUCUAGAGAGAAUUAUGGAGGCAUAUAGGAGAUAUACUCCUUUCAAUCCUCAGGCAGAGGAUCAAAAGGCAUCUGUCACGAUGGCCUUUAUUGGGCAAGCUGCCCUGGAUAUUAAAAGAAAGUUACAGCGUUUAGAUGGAUUACAAGAUAUGACUUUGAGAGAUUUAGUCAGAGAAGCCGAGAAGGUAUACUAUAAGAGAGAAACUGAAGAAGAGAAGGAACAAAGGAGGGAGAAAGAAAGGGAGCAAAGUGAGGAUGAAAGAAGCAAAAGACAGACUAAGGCAUUGACUAGGGUCCUGGUCACAACAACAAAUAGGCCAAAAAUUAAGAAACAGGGAGACAGGAAGGAUACCUGGGCCCACGCCAGAGGCUGCCCCUGGCCUCAGAUCAAUGUGCCUACUGUAAAGAAAAAGGACACUGGGCCAAAGAGUGCCCUAGAAAGAAGCAGUCACGCCAGCCUGCCAUUCUGACUCUAGAAGAGGACUAGGAAAGUCGGGGCUCGGAUCCCCUCCCCGAGCUCAGGGUAACUUUUGAAGUGGAGGGGACCCCAGUGAACUUUGAAGUGGAUACAGGGGCAGUAUACUUAUCCCUUAAGACCCCACUGGGCCCCCUAUCAAAUAAAAGGUCUCUGGUUCAAGGGGCUAACGGCAGUAAAUAUUGGGCUUGGACAACUAAGAGGACUAUGGACAUAGGAAAGGGAAAAGUCCACCACUCUUUCCUAGUAAUCCCAGAAUGCCUGGCCCCAUUGAUGGGCAAAGAUCUGCUUACCAAACUCCGGGCUAGAAUAACCUUUAACCCUGAUGGUCCCCAAGUGGAGUUUCUAAAUCCCUCAGUAAAAACUCCCAUAGUCACGGCCCUGACUAUGUCAGUAGAAGAUGAACAUCAACUCUUCACACCCCCCUCAGGACUGAUCAAACAGGCAAGCUACCCCAGAAAUGGAUGAUAGAUUAUCCUGAUGCCUGGGCAGAAACUGCUGGGUUAGGCCUAGCCAUAAGACAACCUCCAAUAGUAGUAGAAUUAAAAGCCUCUGCCUCUCCAAUCAGUGUUAAACAAUAUCCUCUAAGCAAAGAAACUAAGGAUGGGAUAAGGCCCCAUAUUCAGAAAUACCUGGCUCUAGGGGUCCUAAGGCCCUGUCAAUCAGCCUGGAAUACCCCCCUGCUACCAGUAAGAAAGCCAGGAACUGGGGACUAUCACCCCAUUCAAGACCUAAGAGAGAUCAACAACAGAGUGCAGGACAUUCACCCCACGGUACCUAAUCCAUAUAAUCUGCUCAGCACUCUGAAUCCGGAGCGGAAAUGGUACACUGUACUGGACUUAAAAGAUGCUUUCUUCUGCUUGCCCCUACAUAAGGACAGUCAGCUGCUGUUUGCUUUCGAGUGGGUAGACCCAGAAACAGGAACAUCUGGCCAACUAACCUGGACUAGACUCCCACAGGGGUUCAAAAACUCCCCCACUCUCUUUGAUGAAGCCCUCCACAGGGACCUCAAUGACUUCAGAACUACGCACCCCGAAGUCACCCUACUCCAAUAUGUGGAUGACCUGCUACUAGCAGCCGACACCAAGAAGAACUGUGAGUCUGGGACCCAAGCCCUAUUAUCCGAGCUUGCUCAGCUUGGAUACAGGGCUUCUGCCAAAAAGGCUCAAAUUUGCCAGCAAGAAGUAAUCUUCCUGGGUUAUUCUCUUAGGGGUGGCAAACGAUGGCUCACUGAGCCCAGAAAACAAACCGUUGUGCAGAUACCGCCCCCAUCCAAUAAGAGACAACUCAGGGAGUUUCUUGGGACUGCCAGCUUUUGCAGGUUGUGGAUUCCUGGGUUUGCGUCUCUGGCCGCCCCUCUAUACCCGCUGUUAAAGGGGGAUGCCCAAUUCCAAUGGACCCCCGAGCACCAACAAGCAUUUGAUAAUAUCAAAAAGGUGCUGCUAUCUGCUCCAGCCUUAGCACUCCCAGAUCUAGAAAAACCCUUUACUCUCUACAUUGAGGAAAAGAAAGGAAUAGCACGGGGGGUGCUCACUCAAACUUUGGGGCCCUGGAAAAGGCCUGUAGCAUACUUAUCAAAAACACUGGACCCAGUGGCUAGUGGGUGGCCCCAUUGCCUAAAAGCUAUAGCAGUGGCGGCCCUUCUAAUAAAAGACGUUGAUAAAUUAACGCUGGGACAGAAGCUAACCAUUAUAGCCCCCCAUACCCUGGAGAGCAUUAUCCACCAGCCUCCAGACAGAUGGCUAUCAAAUUCUAGAAUAACCCGCUACCAGAGCCUAUUGCUCAACAAGGAUAGAAUAACGCUGGGACCCCCUGCCCUGCUCAACCCGGCUACACUGCUACCAGAAGAAUCAUCAGGACCCGUCGCUCAUGAGUGUCAACACAUACUGGCAGAAGAAACCAGCAUACGACGAGACUUGAAGGAUCAGCCACUGCCUCACCCUGAAGUCAUAUGGUUCACGGACGGUAGUAGCUUCCUCCAGGAUGGUAAGUGGCGAGCUGGAGCAGCAGUAGUUAGCGAAACUAAUGUCAUCUGGUCCUCUGGUCUCCCAGAAGGAACAUCUGCUCAAAGAGCAGAACUGAUUGCCCUUACGAAAGCAUUGGAACUAGCAACAGACAAGAGGGCCACCAUAUACACUGAUAGCCGCUAUGCAUUUGCUACCGCUCAUGUACACAGGGCUAUUUAUCAGCAAAGGGGGCUAUAAAGAACAAGGAUGCGAUUCUCCGCCUUCUCUCAGCAGUGCAGGGCCCUAAGGAACUAGCUAUAGUGCACUGUCCAGGGCACCAGAAAGGAAACGACCCCGUGGUGGUUGGAAACAGAAGGGCAGAUGAGGAAGCUAAAUUGGCAGCCCUAAUCGGAGUAACCAUGUUAACCCUUUCCAUACUGGGGGAACAACAAUCAGGAGACUUGGCCGCGCCGGAACACCCAGGCAACUUAUCAUCUGAGGACACUGAUACUGAACUCCAUGACUUCACUGAGCCUAGCUUACAAUUUCAGAAAGCCCUGAACUAUGUUAAAAAUGUGCAUCAACCCACAAUAAAAAAUUAAAAAAAAAAAUGUGCAUCAACUCACUCACCUUGGUUCAAAGAAACUGCAGGCAUUCCUGAAGGACCAGAAACAGAGCUUUCCAUUGACUGACUCGCAGCGAAAAGAAAUAGCUGAGCGGGUAACAAAAACCUGUCGAGUUUGCCAAUUAGUUAAUGCUUAUCCAUCCAAGCUUCCUGCAGGAAAGCGCCUACGGGGAACCAGACCAGGACAAUUCUGGGAAGUGGACUUUACUAAAAUUAAGCCAGCAAGGUAUGGACUUAAAUAUCUCCUAGUCUUUGUAGAUACUUUUUCAGGAUGGGUCGAAGCCUUCCCCACGAAGAAAGAAACGGCUCAGGUGGUGGUCAAAAAGAUCCUAGAAGAAAUUUUUCCAAGGUACGGCCUGCCUAAGGUAAUAGGGUCCGACAAUAGACCGGCGUUCGUGGCCCAGGUAAGUCAGGGAUUGGCCAGGACCCUGGGGAUUAAUUGGAAGUUACAUUGUGCUUAUAGACCGGACAGGUAGAAAGAAUGAAUAGAACCAUCAAAGAUAACUUAACGAAAUUAAGCUUAGAGACCGGCAUAAAAGAUUGGACUAUGCUCCUACCUUAUGCACUGUUUCAUGCAAGAAAUACUCCUUCCGUCUCUUUGUGUAACCUCACCCCCUAUGAAAUUCUCUAUGGUGCCUCUCCUCCAGUAAGGGACCUAACCCCAACUCUGAGAUUUAAUGAUUCCUUUCACACCCCCUUGCUUGACAGACUUAAAGCUCUUGAAAAAACCCAGCAAUACCUGUGGAAACAGUUGGCCACUGCUCAAGCUGUUCUGGGGGCUUUUGGCUCUUUACCCCUGUGAGGUGAGCUUGGAGCCCCAGCAUGCUGGACCCCCAAUAAACCCUUUGCUGUUGCAUGAGACAGUCUCUUGGUGGUCUUUUCCUCCGAUGUUCGCCCGACCUUUACAGCCGUAUUCUGGAUUUUGAUCAAUCUAAUGAGUAUGCAUUGAUAAUUCAAUGUUGUUUUAAUUUGUAUUUCCCUAAAGGUAAAUGGUGUGAAACAUCUUUUUAUGUGUUUAUUAUCCAUCUGUGUAUCUUCUUUGGUGUGGUAUCUCUUAAGGUGCUUUGGCCCAUUUAAAAAAGAAAGUUAUUUGUUUUCUUAUUAUUAAGUUUUCAGAGUUCUUUUUGUAUAUUGAAUGGUAGUCAUUUAUCAAGUAUGUUUUCUGCAGAUAUUUUCUCAUAGUGUGUGGCUUGUCUUUUCAUUCUUUUUAACCAUGUCUUACACAGAAAUUUUUAGCUUUUAUUUCUAUAGUACUGGGAAUGGGACACAGGCUGUUGCACAUGAUACUCAAGCACUUUACCACUGAGCCACAUCCACAUUCCCAGCCCCAAGAUAAUAUGCCUUUAUUCAGUGUGUCUUUUAAAAAUAUAUUCUACCAGUCUGUGACUUUGUUCUUAUUCUCUUGGCUUAUUUCUUUGGGAAUCCAUCCUUGGAAUACAUGAGGAUCUUCUCUCAGCAUGUAGACAGGGAUAGAUAGGCCUGGCAUUGGGGACUUUCAGUGGAUUGUCCAAAGGACAUGACCCUUCCCUCUGCUCUGCUAGGAAGGUUCCUCAUAGUAGCCCGGAAGAUGGACAUAACCUGUUAGGAACUGAGCAGCCCACAUUUUACCUUUUUUGGAGAAGAACAUGCUAUAGAUCUCUUUGGUGUUUCCUGAUAUAAAUAAAGCAGGCACAGGCUCCAUUUUGUGUAGAAGCUCCAUCCUUCUGAUCAUCUUGCCUGUCCUGACCCCGUGCUUGUUGUGGUUUCUUUACUCUUCUAUUUCUCUUAGCUUUUAUUUCUCAGCCAGCCCAUUCCACCCAGGAGAACCCCAUCCCCCACCACCGUGGGACGUGGGUGGGAUAUUUCCUUUGUGAUUUCUUCUUUUUUAAGUAAAUUUAAAAGUGUGAUGUUUAAUUGUCAUAUAUUGUACUGCUACAAAGGUAAUAAAGUUGUCGUGAUGGCAAAAGGUGCGACUCAUGCAGUUGAUGUCCAUGCGCUUCUGCCUUUGUCAAUGCUGUAUUCACUCAAUACAAUCUCACUCUAUAGGUUCUUUUUUUUAAUAUUUAUUUUUUAGUUUUAGGUGGAAUUUUUAAAAAUCUUUAUUUUACAUGUAUGUGGUGCUGAGGAUCGAACCCAGGGCCUCAUACAUGCCAGGCCAGCACUCUGUCACUGAGCCACAACCCCAGCCCUAUAUAGGUUCUUAAUCAAGAAAAUGACAAUCCUUAAUGCUGGGUAUUUCAAUAGACAUAAUCAAUUCUCAGCAAACAAUCCUAGACUAAUUCUAAGCACUGCAAACACUUAAUCAUGACUGGCUCAUGACAGACAUUCCCUCUGCAUGCUAAGUUCAAGUGUCAGAUCAAAAGCCUCAAGCCUUAGGCUUUAAGUCCAGCAGAUGCACACUCACUCAGACUAUGGUGAUUAGGUCAGGAAACAAGGCAGGCUUCUCCUGGGGUGGAGCUGACAGCCGGUUGAGGGGAGGCUUGUUAGGAAGAAGUUGUGACUCUCACCAAGGUCAAGAUAUGGCUGUAGAGUUUGAAGGCGGUGAGGGAAAUGCAGAGGAUCAGGCAAACAAAUGAUGAGAAAAUUGGGAUGUCAGCCCAGGUCCUCAUCAGGGACUUUGACAAUGUGCCUGAAAAUGUGCCGGCUUGCUGAAAGUCUGUUCAUUCACCCCAUCAUUUAUACUACAUAUUGGGGCUUUCAAUCCUUAUCAGCUGCCACAUGGUCUCUCAGUGACAUCAUUUACCCUGGGGUUAAAGCAUCUGGUCUGGUGAUCCCCACGCAGAUUUUCUGGCCUUUUCCCCUGAUCAGGUUGAGUACAAUAUGCCAGAGACUUCCUCUGAGUUUGUCAGGGUGGGGAGAAGUGACUUGUUUGUGCCUGAGGGCCAAACUGAAGGGCUCCAUUAGGCCAGCCCGGUGAGACUGCAGUUUUAAAAUGGAGUUGCUUAGACUCAGGCCUAAGGCCAUCCUUACAAAAGUUCACAACAUAUUAUUUUUGGAUGCUAUCCUUUGAAUAAUAGGACAAAAAUGUUCUUGUUAUUACCCACAUAUUCAGCAUUUUUAGUGCUCUAUAUCUCCAUAGUUCUCUGUAAAUCUGGAUUUCUAUUUGGUGUCAUUUUUUUCUUUUGCCUGAACAACUUCCUUUAAUAAUUCUCAUACUGUGCAUCUGCUGGUGAUAAACUCCUUCACUGAUAUGUUUGAAAAGUUCUUUAUUUCACCAUUUUUUUUGUAAUAUGGUUUCAGUGGUUAUAGAAUUCUGAAGUGCUAUUUUUCUUUUAUUACUUUAAAGAUGAUGGCCCAUUACCCUACAUUUAAUUUCCCUCCUCCUGACUAGAUUGUAAGAAUCUCUAUCUUACAGCAAUCUUUUGGUCACCUGAUACCUACUUAAAGUUUAGACUCUUACAGCUCUCCAAACUGCUUUUUCUCUUCCUAUCCACUUCCCUGGUAAAUUAUGAGGCAAUGUCUUAUUUUUUAUUCAUUCAACAGAUCCUUGCUGAGAGUGCCAGCUAUUGGGGCUGCAGCCAUGAAAAAGACAGACCGUUUUUCAUUUGGGAACUACAUUUUAUUGAGGGUAGGGACAGACAAUGAUUAAGUAUCAGGAACUACGAAUUUUUGCAAGGAGACAAUGAAGAAGUAAACAAACAGAUAAAUAAAAGAAUCACACAUUGUAGUUUGUGUAACUGGGAAGACUAAAUGGGAUGCUGGGAUAGAAAAUAUGAAAACAUCCUAUGGCUAGGAAGGAUCUCUAGGAGGAGGUGUUAGGAUGGCCUUAGGCCUGAGCCUAAGCAACUCCAUUUUAAGACCUACAGUUUCACCAGGCACAUUGUUAGAUCAGGACACAAGAAAAGAAAAAUUAAAAUCAAAUUAAAGCAAGCUUAUUAUUUCAACCGGCCGGGCUGCCUCUCCCUCCCAAAAUGGCAGGAACAAGACAGCACCCCAGCUUUCCUGCAGCCCAGCUUUAUAGCCCCGAAAGUUACACAAAGGGAGGUUACAGAUAACAGAACUCUGACAAGCAUCACACUAAUGGUAGUUUACAUUUUUUGCUGGCCCCAACAUCAGAAUUUAUGAGGACCAUUAGAGCCUCAGAGAGGGUCGUUGUCUGGCCAGGGAAGGCCAAUAUUUAUGAGGUGUCACUAAGUUUCAGAGAGGGCUGCUAUCUGGUCAGAGAGCCAGGCAUGGGUGAGUUCAAGGCACGGGCAGGCAUUCCAAGCAGGUUCAGAAUUUGCAGUAAUUUAUAGUAAACCCGAAAUUAUCUUUUCAUGGUUUUGUGGCGAGAUGCCCAAUUUUAAGAAAAGAUCAGGUUGGGUCUAUCAACAUCCACAGAGCCCUCCAGUAUGGCCUCAAACAAGUUACUUCCUGUCACCCUGAUAAAAGAGAGUGAAGACUCUGGCAGGCUAUCCUUCUCUGAUAAGAGGGAAAGGCAAGGAGACCCGGGUGAGAGGAUCAGACCAGAUGUUUCUGACCCCAGGGUAAAUGAUGUCACUGAGAAAUCCGGUGGUAGCUGAUAAAGAUUGAAAGGGGGGUCAAAAGCCCCAAAAUUUAGUAUAAAUGAUAGAGAAAAUGAACAGGGAUUCAGCCAGCUGAAACAAGGAUGCACUCGAGCUGGAGAGCCUGAUGAGGACCUGUAAUCCCAUCACUUGUCAUGUUCCUGAGCCUCUGCAUGAUCCUCACAGCUCUCAAACUCUACCACCUCAUCUGGACCUUGGAGAGAGCUGCAACUCCUCCCUAUGACCCCUCCUCAACCAGUUGUCUCCUCCACACCAGAAAAAGCCUGCCUUGGUUCUGGACCUGAUCACCGUGGUCUGAGUGAGUGUGCAUCUGCUGGACUCAAAGCCUAAGACUUAAAACCUUUGAACUUAGCAUGCAGAGGGAAUGUCUGUCAUUAGCCUAUCAUGAUUGAAUGUUUUUUUGCAGUGCUUAGAAUUAAUCUAGAAUUGUUUGCUGAGAAUUGAUUAUGUCUAUUGCAGUGUGUAGCACUAAGGAUUGUUGUUUUCUUGAUUAAGAACCUAUAGAGUGAAACUAUAUUGAGUAAUUUGAGUGAAUAAAGCAUUGAAAAGGGGCAGAAGCGCAUGGACAUUCUUUAUUUUUCCCCUCGACUGCAUAUGUUGCAAUUUUGCCCCAUCUCGACAGGAGGCGAGGAUUUCAGCAGGCUAGAGGGUGAAUAUCAGUGAAUAAAUUGUAUAUCUGAGGAUAUGAGAGCCUUGAGAGGACUCUGGCAAAUUUGGCCCCAGUUUGGGUCAAGAUGUUUUUAACCUAGUUUUGUUUUGUUUUUCAGUAAGUGAGAAGAAAAGAAGCAGAGCUCUAUGGCUGAGAGGGGCCUGAUAGCAGGUUGCCCCAUUGUAUGCAGUCUUUCUUUCUUUUUUUUUUUUUUUUUAGUUUUCGGUGGACACAACAUCUUUAUUUUAUUUGUAUGUGGUGCUGAGGAUCGAACCCAGCGCCGCAUGGAUGCCAGGCGAGCGCGCUACCGCUUGAACCACAUCCCCAGCCCUGUAUGCAGUCUUGAUGGGAUGCAAUGCCACAGUGAAAGCUGAAGGAGCCAGACACACCAUUCCCUUCUCUGGUACAGUUGGUAUAUGAGCACAUGACCCAUGCUUUGGAUAAUCGGGCGUUUUUCCUGGUAUUUUGAAGCUUGAUCUAGUAUCCCAGGGUAUUCACAGCACUGCUGACAAGGUUUUUGUCUUCCUGUGUGUAAGAAUAGCUUUAACCUAAGAAGGCCUUAGCCUAAGUAACUCCAUUUUAAAAUAAAACUGCAGUCCCCACCAGGCAAGCUAUGGAGCCCUCCAAUAUGGUCAUCAAGCACAGCUUGAUAAAAUAAGUCAUUUUCCACAACCCUGAUAAAACUCAGAAUGAAGUCACUGCCUUCACUCUUAUAAAGUUAGAGGUGAAAGAUCAGGCAGAAACUACUAGACCAGAUGUCCUGACCAUGGAAUGAAAGAUGUCACUGAGAAACCUGGUAACAGCUGAUGGGGAUUGAAAAGGCAAGUAGAAGCCCCCAAAUCUAGCAUACAUGAUGGAGCAAAUGUACAGACAUUCAGCCAGCCGACACUGAUGCCCACACGUGGAGAGCCUGAUGAGGACCUGGACUGAUAUACCAACUCUUCUCAUCAUCUGCCUGAUCCUCUGCAUCAUCCUCACCAUUCUCAAACUACAGCCACAUCUUGACCCUGGUAAGAACAGCACUUCUCCCUAUGACCUUCUCCUCAGCUGGAUGUCACCUUCACCCCAGGAGAAGCCUCCAUCAGUUCCUGACCUGGUCACUGCAGACUAAGGGAGUGUGCAUCUGCUGGACUUAAGGCCUAAGACUUGAGAUUUUAGAUCUGGCAGUUGAGCAGAGCAUGCAGAGGGAAUGUCUGUAAUAAGUCUGUCAUGAUUAAGUGUGUUUGCAGUGCUUAGAGUUGACUUACAAUUGUUUUCUUUGAAUUGACUAUGUCUAUUGCAGUUCCCAGCAUUAGGAUUGUCAGUUUCUUCAUUAAGAACCUAUAGAGGGGCUGGGGAUGUAGCUCAGUUGGUAAAGCGCUUGCCUUGCAUGAACAAGGCCCUAAGUUCAAUCCCAGCACCACAAAAACAAACAAACAAACAAACAAACAAACCUAUAGAGUAGAAUUGUAUUGAGUGAUUUUUUUUUUCCAAUAAAGCAUUGGAAAGGGCAGAAGCAUAUGGACAUUCUUUAUUUCUCCCCUCGACUGCACAUGUUACAUCCUGGCCCAUUGUGACACUAUGGUUCUUUUUUUUUUUUUUUUAGAGAGAGGGAGAGAGAGAGAGAAUUUUUUAAUAUUUUAUUUUUUAGUUAUCAGCGGACACAACAUCUUUAUUUGUAUGUGGUGCUGAGGACCGAACCCGGGCUGCAUGCAUGCCAGGCGAGCGCGCUACCCCUUGAGCCACAUCCCCAGCCCAACACUAUGGUUCUUGUAGCCAGCUGUUCUCCAACAACCCUGGAAUCAGGUUUCUCACUUUCACCCUGAGUCCCCAGCCAAUGUUGGUUUUUGUGUCCCCUGCCAUCUCUCUCCAGCAUUGGCUGGGGACUCAGGGUUAAUGGUUCACUCCAUGUAACAGAACUUGUUUAUGCUUGCUGUAGUUCAACUUUUUCUAUGACAACAGUGUAUCAUUUUGAUAAAAUAGAAAGAAAAUUAUUAGAGAGUGUGUGUGUGUGUUACUGGGGAUUGAUAUCAGAGGCACUUUAUCACUGAGUCCCAUUCCUAGUCCUUUUAAUUUUUUGAUAUUUUGAGAUAGGAUCUCACUAAGUUGCCCAGGAUGGCCCUGAACUUGCGAUCCUACUGCCUCAGCCUCCUGAGUCACUGGGAUUAUAAAUGUUCACCACUGUACCUGAUUAGAAAAAUUAUUAAAAAGGAGAAACA